CCAAGGGCUGACACCCUUGGCUGAUUUAUUACGCCCCUAUGGGGCU
rnacentral:sRNA from 1 species